rnacentral:tRNA from 1 species
GUCGUCGUGGCCGAGUGGUUAAGGCGACAGACUAGAAAUCUGUGGGGCUCUGCCCGCACAGGUUCGAAUCCUGUCGGCGACG